rnacentral:Y_RNA from 1 species
GGCUGGUCCGAAGGCAGUGAGUUAUCUCACUUGAUUGUUCACAGUCAGUUACACAUUUAACUCCUUGUUCUACUACUUCCCCCCAGCCCCACUACUGCACUUGACUAGAAAA